AUAGGCUGCUGAAUCGUGAAAUUGUUCAGUUUGUUGCUUUGAGUAGACAACUUUUUGAAAGUAUGGGCUGUUCAAAUAGUGUCAUUGUUACCAACACCAGUGAUUCCAUCAUAAUAAUAACCUGGAGUGACGAUGACAACAAAAAUAUCAGUAAAAAGAUCCUUCCAGGGCAAUCGGAGGAAAUCGAAGAUAUCUACAGUGACGUAAAAGUCCAAAUUGAGAACGAGGCGUUCAUAGGAAAGAGGGGUGUAAACUUUACAAUUGAAAAGCAUCAAGAUAAAACUCAUACACGUGUGACUGUGAAGGGCAAAUCUGCCUGAUUCAAGGUCGUCAGAGCAAUGACAAGGACAAGACAAAAAUAGGACUGUUCCCUGUCAAUAAAAACAUUUUACUUCUGCUUCUCAUUUAGUUAAAAUAAGAAACUAUUUCUGUUUCGAAACAAAAUGCUUGUCACUUAUUGUAUUAUAUUCUUUUGAAUUGAAUAAAAAAAGCUUUGUAUCUAA